CGCCAUUCCCCGGGGAGCGAAAAAAGUCCCCGAAGAGCAGGGACCCCGCCGGAAAGAGCGGCAGAGCGCGCACACCAAAGCCAGGAUGCUAUUGGCUAUCGCCAACGCCCGUCCCAGCCCCGCCACCAAUAGCAACGUAUAGCGCCGCGGGGCUAAACUGAGGCGCGUUCGGCCAAUAGCGUGGGAGAAGGUGGGUGGGGCCACCUCUAGCGCCGCGGCGAGGGGCAGCCAAGAUGGCGGCCGGGGGGGGCCGGUGGACGCGGUGCUGUCCGAUCCCCGUUCCCGCGCUCAACGUCGCCACCCCCCACUCGGAGGCAUGAGAACAUCAAAACUACAUGACAGCAUCACCUGGCACCAGUUAGCGCGGCUCUCCCAGAGAGCAUUGUGAUACUUCGGGUCCAGAUGGCCUCCGGGCAUGCAGAGGUUUGACAGGGAGGAAGGUCAGAGAGAGGGACAAAGAGGAAUGAAUGAGGAAGGAGUUCUGCUUGCAACUGAGAUAAGUGGUGAGAUAGGAGCUCCAGAGUCUCGUACACUUACAUAGCAUGUACUUGUGCAUGUGCACUUCCCACUCACAGUCAUACAGAGUAUUGCAUAAUAUUGGCAUCUGAAUGUAUAGAAUUAUAAACAGAAUAUAGAAUUGUUUUCAAAGACAUUUUCCCUCUGUUACAACUAUAGGACCUUUUGCCUUUCAACAUAUGUUAAGUGUGGAAUAUGAGAGCAGCCAAGCAGUCUGUGACAACUUUGUUUUGCAAAGUACUCAAAUUGGACCAGAAUGUGAAGCUUUAAGAACAUGGGAAAACAUUUCACGUAAUGCAGAACAGUAAUGUUAUAACAGAUCUUAUAUUUCAGAACCUCUCGGUACUCGUUUCUGUGUUUAUUUAAAGAAACUACUGUUAACACAUCAGAACUCAAGGAUAUUAAAUAUAUUUUAUUUUCUGCAUGAGAUCAGAAAUAAAUAAAGCAUAUCAUUUGACAUAAAAUCCCAGCUCACCCCCAAAGUACAUCUGUGCAAAAGCACAAUCCUAUCCAUAAAGCACAACAACAAAAAUCUAUAAAAUAGACAUUGCAGUAAAUGAGUUGACUGUUGAGGAGACAGUUUCACAGUAAGUAAAAUUUCAGUUACUGCAACGAGCAGUUUGACUGCCUAAUUUUUCCCUCUUUAUGUGAGAACAUAGUUUGAAAUUUAUCAGAAGGUUUUAGUGUGCAUUUUUUUCCCCCAGCAUUUUGGUACUCUUUUAGUAUGACAGACUUGUGCAAGUUCUUUUAUUUUGACCUCAGUUUUGAAGCUCUUUAUACUUAGAUUUGCACUGAAAUGGGCUUAUUAUAAUCACGUUAGGUUCCAGUCUUGCAAAGAUUUGCAUACAUGCUUAAUGUCAACUGUCUGAAUAGUCCUAUUAAGUUCAGUAGGGUGACUCUUGCACAACAUGAAGUAUGCACAGACAUCUUGGAAGAUUGAGGGCCAUAUGUUAGAGCAUAAAAACAAGUUAUCCAUCAUUUAAUUUUAAAAUAGAGCUGUGGAACUAAUAUGUUAUUUGAAAAAACAUUCUGGACUUAUCUGAAAUCCCAGAGGCACAGCUUAAUUCAAUUUCUUGGCUCUCACAGUUUUUAAACAGUACAAGUUCAAAACCAGAGGUGUCACUUCAAAUGAAAACAGCAGCCAAGACAGUUUAAACAGAGCUAGGCACAUUCAGUCAUAAUUUUCUUUAUGCAAGUAUUUAAACAUAUUUUAAGAGGGAGAAAAUUAUCAUUUGUAAUUGAGAACUGAAAAGUGACCUUUUCUUUAUUUGUUGAUUCAUUGAGCCUCAGAAUGAGUACUUUUAUAUCUGUUUUGGUUGUUGUGUGGCUGUUUUCUUCAGAACUGUCAUAAUUAUUGUCAUUGCUAAAAAGGACCUGUGCACACUAAAGGUUAAAAGCCUGAUACCGCAGAAUGAUUAGCCUCGGCUGCAGUGCAAUUCAGCUGGAUUCGCAAGUGCACUUCUUGAGAUCCUAGUUUUGUGGGGAGUAUUUAUAGUCCUGUUUAGUCGCACUGACUUCAGAGAGAUGACACAAGCACCCAGCACUGUCACCUCAGUAGUAAUUAAUGGUAUUCCUUUUUUUAUCUUAAUGGGCAAAUCAGUUUUAAAACCUUUUUUCUGCAUUGUUCUGAAGAAAGAACUAAAAUUACGGUUGAUAGUAGGAUAAUUCUAAUUUUUCUAGCCAAACUUGGCUAAAAGAAGUUAGUUCUCAUUCAACUGAAAAUUAUUAGAGGUUAAAGAUAAAUGCUAACCUUUCAAUAUUAUUUAAUAGAGCACAACCAAACAAAAGAGAAAGAAGUUAUCAAUCAGGCAAAGUGCUGUCUGAAUCAAUGGCAAAGCAGCAUUGGCUGAACAUCAUAUGAAAGGCUGUAUAAACUCAUGUAGUCAGAGGAUAACUUAGCAUGAGAGAAAUUAGACAAGACAUCCUGUAUUCCACAAUUGCUUGGAAACACUGACAUUUUUACAGCAGAGUGAUACUGAUGACAUUGAACACAGCUGCAAUUAGUGAAGGAAAUGUUCAUCCUUUGUGGGGUGAAAAUGAAUUGGUACUGGCAAUUUUCUGGUCUUUCUUCCGUGUUUUGUUUCUCUUAGUUGGUUUCUCUUAGUUGUUUUUUUUUUUUUUUUUUUAAAAAAAAAAACAAAAAACUAAGCCAUGAUCGUGUUACAAGCCCACACUCCACUCCACUAUGAUGUGGGAAGCUGCAGAGAGUCAGGAGUUUUCCCUUGCUACCUAGGCAAGUGAGGCAUGAAAAUACGAAAACAUAUUACAGUCCUUCUUAAAGGAUCUCAUUAGAGUUCUCAGAUGUGUUUAUCAUUUCCUAUGAUUUUCUUCUAUCCCAUUAUCACAAACUUACAACCUGAAAAUGAUUAGUCUGUUUAGAAUGUGAUUUAAAAUAUGAAAAGGUUAAAUAUGAAUUUUUUUUCCUAUAGGAUAAAAUAAGUGUAGGGUUUUCUAAAGCUGUAGAUAUUUUCGAAUAUUUUCGAAUUCUGCACAGAAAGGUUUCUAAGUGAUGUCCAAAAUGUGGUGAAUACUGUGUGUCUGUUCAAAAAAAACCAGCACACAUUCUUAUAACCUCAUGGUGUCUCAUGGAGAAAAAUCAUUGCUUCAUCCACUUCUUCUCACCCACUCUCAGCUGUAAGUACCUAAUAAAUAAGAUCUCUCUCAAAGAUGUAACUCACAGAUCUCACUGGCUGCCAAAAAACUUGCACAGAAAGAUUGUUUAUGAUGAAGGCUUCACUUUCCAAAUAAUAAUAAUGAAAAAUAGCAGUGAUUCCUACAUUCAGAAAUAAAUGCAGGACUAAGAUAUAAAAAGUAUUUCAAGAUGGGCAUCUGCAUAUUAUGUGAGGUGGGCACAAAAAAACUGUAUCUGCAUCAUUUUUACUGCGCUUCAAUGUAAAUAGCAAGCAUAUUUCCAUCUGGCCUGACUUAUGGGAUUUUGGGUGUUCACUAAAUGGUUGAGUGAUUUUUAAUCACUGGAUUUUGUAUUGUAAAGUUACACAAGGAGAAAAAAAAAAAAGAGCAACAUGAAUGCACUUGAUUUAUUUGCUCCUUAGGGGAUGUGUGACAGAAUAGUGUGCUAAAGGACCCACCGUACAUUGUCAGUGGGUGAAUGAAUGAUUCCCAGAGUGUGGAGUCCACACACACAACCAUUGAGGUUGUUCUCACUAUUUCAGAGUAUUUAGUGUAAGCUCACAAAAGAGAAAGCACUCAGAAAUCCAGUCCUCGAUAUAAAAUAUUUUCCGGAAGUAUAUAUUCAGUAGAAAGACAUGCAGCUCUGAGACGUUUAUGGCAGCUGCAGAGAGCUCCUCUCUGACCUCUGUUAAAGAUUACACGAUGGACAGGGAAGCCAAGUCAGACAUCUUGUUCAAAGGGACAAUAUUUCAACUGCCCUUUGAUAGAGCAGGAACUCCUCCCUUCCUACAUCCAGGAAAUAUGCAGGUUGCAUCACAUGGAGUAGGAGGUGGAAAGGAUGGUUUCUUACAUCAAACUGUGGUUCUUUAAGAUGUCUGCAGGAUCCUGCUGCAUGCUGUCCAGCCCAGCUUUUUGGAGCACUCUGUACCAGAAGCAUUGAAUUUCAAGGGAAUUGAGGGGAGGUCACAGCAGUGCUGUGCUCAUUUCCUUUAACAAAGGGUGCUGCGGGGCAUGGGGAUUGUACAUGGCCCACAGAGAUACAAGCCAAGAGAAACUGCAUCAGUGCAGAGCAUCUGUGCAGCUACUGAAGAUAACGUCGGUACAGUCAUACCAAAAAGCUACAGUUGUAGGGCUCUCUUGUGCAGUACAGGGCAUGAACUGCAACAAAGACAGAGCCAAGAAAUGUAACAUUGCCUUGUCUGAUUGGCAGCGAAGACCAGAGCUCAGAAAAUUCUGUUACUGUUGCUGUUUUCCCAAACUUAAGGUCCCUACAGCAAAACCAGAAAUCACUCACAGGCAAAGAAGACAAUCAGAGAGAAAGGUACUGAAAAUGUACAUUCUGGCUAUUCUAAACCAAAAUGACUCAGCAACUGCUGAAGGGGCAGAGAAUUGAGAAACACUGCGUAUAUAACAGAGCUCAUGUACCUUCUCAGCAAAUACGUUAUGUAGCCUUGUGGACCACACUGGGUUCGUGUAUGGAGAAUGCUCGCCGCUUGGCACGAUUCCCUUGGAAUGUACUUUGGAAUAACCUUCUGAACAUGUGUGAUUCACAGGGCAGAAGGUGCCAACUAAGAGGAUGUUUGUGCUGUGGUCCAAAGUCGUUAUCACACUAACUGCCUGGCACUGAACUAUCAAGUGACUAUUCCAAUAAGCAGUGGGAUACACUCUGCAUGUAUGCCAGAGUCAGCACAGGCUGCAAAACUUUCUGGAGAUUUAACAGCCUAACAUGAUGAGCUCCGUGCUGCUUUACGGAUUGUUCUAGUAACACCAAGCUCAAUAGCUUACUUAAAGCUAGUUCAGAUGUGCUUGCACGUAUCACACCUCAAGAUUUUCAGGGUGGAGCUAUGCAUUACCAUCAAUGUACAAGAAAGGAUUUGGAGAGUGCAGUAAAUUAGAGGUAUUUGUAGCCUUUGCUGUCAUCUGCAGGCAGGAUACAUCAGCAAGAGAUUUAAGAGCUAGACAGCACGAGAACCACUCCAUGCAACACUACGGUGACAAAACAGUUCUAGUGAUAGCACCUGCAAUUGCAGGGAGAAAUUGUAGGUCCAAAACAGAUCUAUAUCCAUGCACAUGCUUUGUACAUCAUUUUACAUCAUUGCCAGACUUCUGUAGAGCCUUACCCUUAAUAGCUGCCAGGAAAGCCUCUACAGAAGAGGCUGGUUGCAUAAGUCUGUGCUUCUGUGCAGACUCUCAGACCAUAAAAAGAUACUUAACCUGGAUCAUCCAUCUGCAUAGCUAUAGAUAGAUGAGUUACUAGAGAAUCACUCUUUGUAAGUGGCUGUACAUUUGUAUCCUUCUAAGCAUAUAUCCAGUAGAAAAUUUUCUUUCUGCCUUCUUAUAAGCACUUCUCUCAGUUUGAGGUUAGCAAUUAACAUGUCUAGGACGGUGGCUAUUAACCACAGUGGUGUUUAAGGGAAUAUGUGACAGGCUGGGGGGGAAGUUCUAAUACAUAUCUAUAAAGAUUUUUUUGUGGGGGUGAGGCAAGCCCACUCAUACUGUGAGCAGGAAUAAAGGCCUGACAGAGAAAAAUGUACUCUGUAGCACUGCAGAAAGUAGCCCUGAUGACCCAUCGUACUUAGGAAUCACAGAAUGUUCUGAGUUGGAAGGGACCCAUAAGGAUCAACCCAGCUCUUAUAGAAGACCCCAAGAGAAAAAAGUUGGACUUCUCUGAAGUUAACUUUGGUUGCAGAAUAGCAGGACGUAGCUAUGAUAUGUGGAACAAGCACUGCUGGAUACCUGUAGACAUACAUUUGUCUUCCAGAUAUUUCCCUAAGUGAAGACAGAUGGAAGCUGUGAAUUAACUGUUUAGCAGUUUAAAAUAUAGAAGAGGAAGGGAAAAAUUCUGAAAACCCACUAUCCAAUAUUUUGGUUUCACAAAUGCCAAAGGAUCACCACCUCACAUACACAUGGUCAAGAGAAAAUUUUCAAAUCAGCUUUGCAAGCAAAUAAAGGGUGUGUUUCAAAAGAACUAAAGAAUAUCUACCCGAUCAUCGAGUUGUAUUGGAAAGGGGACUGUCAUAGCCAGCCAGGAAUUCAAAUGACUAAAGUACCAGACUUUGAAACUAACUUGGAGUCACCUUGCUCCCCCAAACCCAAUUUUGCUUUCCUGAGAUAUCCCACACUGAGGACAAGUAACACUUGGUUUCUAAACCAUGGAUAUUUAGAUGCUUAUAGGAGAGUGAAAUGAGGGCCCCAAGGUAAGAACGUGUAUACGUAGCAAUAAGACUGAAGUCACUUUCAGAUCCAGUUUGCUUAUUUUGUUCCUGUAGUUGUUUUUUGUCUCUCUCCUCUUCCAGUAGUAAUAACAUUUAUAACAAACACCUAUGCACUUGAGUAUUGGCUUGGGACAUACUGACGCAUAUACCUCCAAAAGUUCCAGGCUUCAGAUUACAUUAGUAAUACUUCCAGUACAUCAAAUUACCUGAAGGAUCAAAACAUACUUCUAUGUUUGAAUGAACUACUUAGCAUAUUACAGAAGCAAAGGUGGAACAAACAUUCCCUGGAGGGAGGUUGCAGAUGCCGGGCUGGUUAGUCUGGUACACAGCAGCUGGGCUCAUAAAACCACCUCCCUCUGUCUAUGUAUCACACUCUUAUCAGGAUGCUAUCUGAACACCUUUACAAACCAAUUAAAUGCAGACAAAUUGUAUGCGAGAAAUUGCUUAAUCCAGAGAGAUAAACAGCAAAAUGAUAGUAUUUUGUUGUCCUUCAACUCAUUCAAAGCUCUAUACCUACUAAAGAAACAGCAUCUGAGGUCAAGGCUGGGUGCAACUGGCUGUGGAUGCAGCACAGUAGGUCUCUCUUUCAGGUCACCAGUUCACACAAGGUGACACUAGGUUGGCUUUUAUUAGGGAGUCUGAUAGUGUCCCUAAAAUCUUGAGCUGUGAGCCCUUGGCCCUCAGCUGCUUCCUUUCCAACUGCAGCGAGACUCCAGAAGUUCAUAAUCUGUAACAGCAUUUGAAACUUUCUCUUCCAGGGUACUUUCUCCAGAAGCACUGCAUAUUCCCAACCUUUGUCAUACACAGAUACAGUGAGCUUCUCAGAGGUGGCAAUUUCUCAUAGCCACCAAGAAUUACUUGCUAAAGUGAAUUAAUUAUGAUCUGCAAAUAUAGAUAAGAAACAAAACUUCACCAAAGAAAGUGCACUAGUGGGAAUCUGUGAAGCUCUUAUUCACAAGGAUAAUCCGUAGCCUGGUUUCUGUGAGGUAUUCUAUUUAAUAAGAUCAUCUCGGAUGAUGUUUAUAAGAUUGAUGACUGAAGGAGCUGAUCUGAUACCAGAAUAUCCGAAGUUAUUUUCCAUGUUCACUGAAUUGAAUCAUUGUAUUCUUCUUUCUGCUGAUGCUGAAUUGUUCAUGCAAUAUAUUGUUUUUAUUGUUUUGCCUUUUUUUUUUCUCUCCUCUCGAAUCUAUAAACUUUUUAAUCCUUACUUCAAAGUAAGGAUGCAAGCCUUAGGACUGACAAUCACCUAUUAAGACAUUUCCAAACAAUUAAAGUCUUUUCCUAUUAAGGAACAAACAGCCUUGUAAAAGGACUGCAGCAGAGAACCAACAGUAAAACGGAUCCCUCAGAGGAGAGGGAAUGAGAACAUAAGAGGUCAUGUCACUGGACUGUGUAACAAAAUAUCAGAUCUGCUGAGAGAUAAAGGCAGCCUGCAGAGGCAGGGUAGCCCCAAGGGGAGGGCGCUCAGUGAGAGAGAAGCCUGGCUAAGAGAACUGGGGGGUGAACCAGGCUGAGCAUAAAGGAAGAGGCCCCUGUGGGGGCAGGAGGACUGCUUGCUGGUAACCCAGCUCCCUGGGAUAACAAGUUUAUGAAUGUGUCAAUGUGGUCCUUAACUCCCAGGGAUGCAUUUGCAGCUAGCCACGAGGAAGAAAUGGCACCUAUCAAAACCUAGGGAUGAGAGAAGUAGAGCAAAGAGGAACGAGCAGCUGCCCAGAGGAGGCAGAACCCUAGCAGGGAGUUUUGUGCAUAGCAAGAAGCCAGAGCAGAAGGUGCCCUGAGUGUAGCCUGUGUGUAUGAAGAACUCAAUUCCCAUGACUCCUGGGUGCUGACAUUAUAUCAGCAACCUGGCUGUGCUGGGUGCUCUUCAAGAGCUCAGGGACAGGGAACAUGGAUAAAGUCUUGUUAUGCUCAAUUUCACCAUUUCAUUUUUUUGCUUGGGACUUGGUCCCCAGACAAUUUUACCAUUUUAUUUACCUUAUACAUAAUUCAAGUCCAAAAACCUGUGCAAGAAAGGAGAAACAAAAACCUGGCAAUAUAGGGUGAUGGGGGGGGUGGGGUGGGGAAGGGGAAGUUUCAGGGAGAGUAUAUUUAUCUUUAGAGUUGAAAACUAUUUAGGAAUACUUCCCCCAUCAGUAGAAGAAAGUCCAAUGCCCACAGUCAUGGUGUUGACAUCGUGUUCACACACAGAGGAGUCCCAUAGGCCAAGUGAUGGCUACAAAAGAGGCAGUGUGGAACAAAUCCCAUCUGUCAUCCAGCACGAGACAUGAAACCUGGUCACAGCUGCACCAGUCACUACAGCGACAUUCCACUUCGCUUCUUUGAGUCCUUCUGUGCAAUUGGACUGAAGGAUAAGAUCUCCUUGUAGAUAUGUUCUUGAAAAACAGAAGAAAAACAAGUAAUGAAUCACACAUCUCCCACUGCAGAAGUCACAAAUGAAACUUCAACC
rnacentral:lncRNA from 1 species